GUCCCCACGCCCGCGCGAGCGCUACCUCUCUCACCCCCUGCGCCGCCGCCUUCUCCCCCCAAGCUUCGGCUCCACCAAGGUAGCCCGGCCGAUUCUCGCAGCCCAUUGAAAGCCGGCACGCCGACGGCCUUCGUCCUCUCGCGCCGGCCCGUCACCGCGAUCCCCGCCGGCACGGGCGCCUAUCCCCACCUUGCUCCUUCUCCCCGCUCGCGACGCCGUUGCCGCGCGCCUCCAUGAACUUCUCCGACGACUGGCGCUUCCUCUUCCCCGUCUCCUCCGUGUUCAACCCGCCGUCCCUCGCCCCGCCGGACGCCUCCCACGGGCCCCUCUUCUUCACCCCUCUCCUGCCGCCCGCCCCGCUCCUCUCCCUCCCCUUCCCCUUCCCUCCGCCCCUGCACGCCUCCACCACCGGUGACCUCCGCCACGCCCUCCGCUACUUCGUCGCCUCCACCUCCUUCCUCCCCUACUCCGAUCUCAAGUCCCUCUCGGGACCCCUCCUCGCCGCGCCGUCGCCGCCGUUCCCACCGCCUUCCAAUCUUCUCGCCGUCCUCCCCUCCCGCUCCGCGAGCUCUCUCGUCCUCUUUUUCCCGUACGGCGAGAAUGCGGAGAAGAUUGCUUUCGCUCUUGUGAACUCGCCCGUUGCGAGCUCUGCCCCCGUUUCGCUCUUCGUUCAGAGUGAUGGGUUCAAGCACCCUGGGCACCGCAUACAGCAGUUUGCUGCUAUUCCUGCCCAGUCGUCCUGGUCAUCGGAGCCGGAUGACAGCUGCGUCGAGGGUUUCCUGCUUGCUGCGACAUUGUACUCAGUGAGUUGGUUCAGGGUCGAGUCACGCCAUUCGGGUUCCCUGGUGCUUGUACCGGUGGCCAAGCAGGGGUUUGAUGCUGCUGUCGUGCAUGCGUGCUGGAGCAGGCAUUUUCCGUCACAAUGUGCGGUGCUGCUGGAGAGUGGGGAGUUGUGUUGGUUUGAUCUGAAUACACGACUUGGAGGAAAGACGAGCGUUGGUUUUGGCAGCAAUGGUGAAGACUGGGGGGACUGGCUGAGCUGUGCGUAUGGAGCACAACCGUGGAUGGUGAUCGUCGCAAGCUCAAAAGCCGUCCUUUUGGUUGAUUUGAGCUUUGUAGAUCAUGGUGACAAAUACGUCGUGGAAAACGAGCCACACAAGUUUCAGUACAAGGUUCUAGCAAAAAUUGGGUUGCCAGGGUUGUUUGAAACUGAGCCUUUUGACAGGACUGAGCAUUAUAUUGCAUUCUGUAAGGCUGGGUUCGAUGAUUCCCAUAUAUCAGUAGUGACAGAGCGUCACUUGAUUCUCCUUGAUGUGACAAAGCCCUUGGAACCUGUGUUGGCUUGGCAGCAUGGGCUUGAGAACCCAAAUCAUGUUGCCAUGUUUCGGCUAUCUGAAUUGAGACCUUCCAAGGAAUAUGAAUGGGCUUCAAAUUCAGGUUUUGCCAUUUUGGUUGGUUCGUUCUGGAAUGGGGAGUUCAGUUUGUUCUGUUACGGGCCUAAGGAGCAAGGUUGCCCAGAUAGUUCUCAUUUAUACGCUUGGGAUAUUCCUUCGAGGCUUUCUCUGACAGGUCAGCAUUGUGGCUGCAGCAAUGGAAUCAUGAAAGAGAUAUUCUCAACGCCUGUUUCAGUAUAUGAUGGGUAUGCUUCCCAACACCGCGCUAAGUCCAUUGUUGGCUACUAUGUGCUUCCAGAUGACCUCCCAAUAUCAGAGCCAACAUCUGCCAGCUUUGCCUUGAUCCGGCUAACAGCAUUGGGGAAGUUAGAAAUGCAACAGUAUCGUGCAUCUCGAGGUCUGCAUGAUGAAAUUGACACCCCAUGUGAUGAAUCAGAACAUGCAUCCAUCGAUAGUUGUUCAUCCAUUUUGAUUGACACUCAAGGUGAAAAUGUCUCAACCAAAUAUCGAUUCUUGAAGUUGCAUUUCCUAUAUGAACAUCUGAAGGGCAAUCUAUGCAGUGCGUUGGCGAAGCAUGGUAGUAGUGUUAACGGAGACGGAGAUCAAAUUAUUAUUAGUGAAGAUGUGUUGGCAUUUGCAGAGGAUAACUCUAGAUCCAGCGUGCUGCCAGUUUCAGAUUUCCUAUGUAAUGCUAGCAUCCCCAUGAAUGUUUUCGAAAUUGCAUGUCAGAGCAUAUUGAACAGUCUACCUUCAAAUAUUCUUCAUGUCUCCCUUUCUAAAUACAAGGACAUGCUAAAAUGUGGUACAAAAGAAGGCUUAUUAGAAUAUUUAAAAGUUCCUAGCUGUUCGCCACACAAUGAACUUCGGCCUUUCCUGUUAGCGAAACCAUCAAGCACAUGUGAGAAGGUGACUAGCAAAGCGGUAUCUCAAAAUGCUCUUGUUGGGCCAGUGCUCCCUGUGCAUGUCCUACUUGCAUUGGAAGAGAUGAACAGGGGCAUAGACAGCCCUUCGGAAAGAGAAACUGCAGAAACUGACUUGGUACGCCAUCGAUGUAGUGAGGUGCUUGGAGCCUUUGUUCCUGAAGUAUCCAUUGCUGAAUCCGACAACUUUGAUGGAUGGUUCUCCUCACAAAAGUUGAAUGACAAGAAGUCAUAUCUUGUUUACGAGCCUUGGAUUGAAAAUAAGUUUACUCUUGAUGAAACUGUUAUAAAGAAGGAAAACGAAGAGCAAAAGGCCGCUGAUUGUACAUCUUUUGAAACGUCUGCAGCAGCAUACAAGGAUGAGAAUUUCACGACAUUUGUCUAUGGAAAAGCUGGGACUCUUGAUUCUGGGCCUGAACAAACCACAUCUGAUUUGUUUGAUUUCACCCCAGUGAGGAUGGAUUUUGCUUCCACAGAUCUAGACAUUCAACCUGCUGAGGAAGAAAUAUACAGAUGCUUGAAGAAACAAUUUGUAAGAUGGCAAAAUAAUUUCAAGCCUUACCAAGAUUUUUGUAGCUCAUAUAAAAUACAAAAGCCAUCAUAAUGGCCUGCAGUGCUCCAUUCAGUUGUAGCAGGUAUUUUGCAUUUCCAUGUGAUGACAUGUAAAUUUGUUGAGAAAAGGACAGACUAGUAAUAUAUACGCUCUCAGAUACUUGGCCUGGUAUAGACAUACAGUGCUGUUUGCAUAUUUCAAACACUUCUUGGGAGUUAGAUGCUGUGGGCGGCGCUGUAAAUUAUGAAGGGGUAGGAUUCGAAUAACUCGGUUUAAAAUACUCCCUCCGUCCUAAAAUAAGUGUCUCAACUUUGUACUAACUUUAGUAGAGGGAGUAGUAUACUAUUUUGUUAAGCUUUCUACCAUGUUAUUUUUGACAAUGUGUAUGUUAAGAUACAAUUUUGUCACUGGCCAGGAUUGCAAUAGACCUCCUUUUCAAUUACAGUUUUUAACCUUCACUUUUGACUGUUAGCACAACUCAUAUGACCCUGAGAAAAUUUGCAGCCAUCAUUUUGUUCCUUUGGAGUUUGAAUACAUGCUUAUAUUCAGAUACUGUGUAGCAUUAACCAGGGCCGUAGUUAACCUGUUUUAUUUUCAGUGCUCAAACAUUUCUUUUCUUUUUUACAGCACCUAUUCUAUUGACAGGAUUUGCCACCUUGAGGUGCAUUUAACAGGAAUUUCACGCACUUGAUGUUAAGCAUUGGUGCGCCAUUUAUAGACCGUGUAGCAAGGCAGCAAGAGUCCAAGCCAUAUUGGGGCAUUACAUAGGCGACAAGGAGGGAGUGCUAUUGCAUCAAAAGUUAAACAUUUUGCUGAGUGACAACUACGAGCAUUAGCGCAGGCGUUCUUUUCUUUUCUUCUUCUUUGUUGAGAGAAAUCGUGUGGCAGUUGUAACCUAACCAGAUACGUGCACUCGUAAAAAAAAACUGUCUCACAUGAGUUUUUCUUCAUUUCAGUUGAGCCAAAACCUGCCAUUUGGGCAAAGUUUUUUGGCUGAAUUCUUAGUUUGCUAUGGGCUGCAACGAUAGUGGCGUGUUUGCCUGUUGAACUGUGCAGUGCAAGUGUACAUAUUUUUUCUUGAGCACGGACCAUUGUAUCUCAUGAUUCUGAAGCUCCAUGCUGAUGCAUGAAAGCAAAUCCAGUCACAUGAUG